CAUUCAUACCUACCCGCCACUAGGGGUCACUCGUGUUUACGUGAUGCAUAGUAGAGUGCACACAGAGGAAGAGUGUACUACAUGUGUAGGUUGUGCUUGUUCGUAGCUGUCUGCAGCUGAGCACAUGAGCAGUUGUGCAUAAGAUUAAAAGCAAACAUCAGCUUUUCUUAAGGAAGGGGGGAAAGUCCUGCUUGUGUUUUGCUUACCACCUUGUGCAUCAUGUAUUUGGUGUCUGUCUGCAAGAUAUUUCCGGGUGGAUAUAUACAUAUCUAAUGUGGCGGAGAUUGAGCGUGAGUGUUUAUUAAAAGAGUUUAAUUUAAGUUGCAUGUUCUGUUAUAAUAAUUGGGAAUUUGUGGAAAAUAACAAUCCAUUUUCUCUUUGAAUUAUAUUAGAGGGGAGAACAGAUACACGUGUGUCAGCGCCUCGUUUCAUGUUACAGCGUGUCACAGAGUGAGUUCAUUUAUUUUGUUUCAUAUUAUAAAUAUUAUUGUGCACUCAAAGAAGAGAGAGAAACAUUUUGUAAUGUUUAUAUUAUGUCAGCAAUAAAUAUAAUUUGUUAAUAGGCUAAAUAUGAACAUUUUGAUACCAUGAUUGACACUGUAUAAAUGAUUAAUGAGGUGUAAACUGGAUUCAGUUCAGAUUUAUUAAGUUAAGUGGCUAAUGUUUAUGUACUAUGAAUGUUUCUGUGUUUUGUCUAUAUUACAGAAUAGCAUCCAAAAGCCACUACCGUUGUUUUAUAGGGGUAUAUUUCAUACAGGGCUAUUUUUGUGUGUUUUCAUUUAUUUUCUCUGUUGAUUUGGGAUCUUUAUAAUCUUGAGAAGGAAUGUGAUUUAAGGAGAAACGUGUAUUAACCCUUUCUAAUCAGCCGAAUUUCACCCAAAGGGAGUGUUCAAUAGUUGGGCUACUGUUUUAUUUGUUUUAUUUAUUUUUCUUUAAACUGAAUAGGCCAUUGUAACAAAAUAUUCACAGUGUAUUUGGAGCUUGUGUUAAUUUGAUCUCUUUUUAUAUUUCUUGUAAACUUGGUUUAUUAUAAUAUACUACGCAGGGGGAAAUUUCACAGUCAUUUAAUGCUGUGUUUUCUCUUAACUCAGUCGGAAAUAAAGAACCCCUGUUAGAUGUAUGGCUGUGCUGGAGUCUUUGUCAUAGUGUGAAGGUUUACACGGCCACAUCUUUUGGUGUCAGAAGUGGGAUUAUUAGUUACUUACUGUGGGUUUCCUUUUGUGCAGAGGAUUUGUUUAUUAUUUUUUUUUAAUUCUUAUUACUACAAGUGGGUUAAACAACAGUAAACAACGGUAGUGGUCGAGGCUGGAUGUUUGUCACCGAGAGUCAACAGCGAGCUAUGUGCUGAGCCAGGAAGGACGGCGGAGAGUUCAAGUGUCAACGUUUCAGGAUCAACUUGACUGGGAAGGCUGCAUGGGACUGUGUUAGUGUGUGAUUUUGUAGAGACUGAAGCCAUUGACAUCUGCCGUAUAGAGCCAUGGAAGCUGAAGAUACUGAGCAAGCACAGGCACAGGGAGAGGACAGCCAAGGACUUGGUGCUGCUUCCUGGAGGGGAGAACAGAUACACGUGUGUCAGCGCCUCGUUUCAUGUUACAGCGUGUCACAGAGUGCAAUAUGGAUUAAGACGGAGAGAGAUUCUGGAGAUGACUGAUGGGGAAAGAGAGAGAGAGAGACAGAUGCCAGGGUGUGUCAGUCCACACCAUGAGAUCCAAUCAAGCUCAAUCACCCGGCUCAGCACCAAUACCAUCUGACUGUUAAACAUGAAUACUCAGCCAAACAACUUAUGCAUCUAUGCCCACCUGAAUUUUAAAUCUGGUCUGUCUAAUUUUUAGUCUGGACAAUACACCAGAGGGAAACAAGAGCUCAGUUGGAG
ensembl:lncRNA